rnacentral:rRNA from 2 species
CCUUGAGCCGUGGCUUUCGGAGCUAACGCGUUAAGUAGACCGCCUGGGGAGUACGGUCGCAAGAUUAAAACUCAAAUGAAUUGACGGGGGCCCGCACAAGCGGUGGAGCAUGUGGUUUAAUUCGAUGCAACGCGAAGAACCUUACCUACUCUUGACAUCCAGAGAACUUUCCAGAGAUGGAUUGGUGCCUUCGGGAACUCUGAGACAGGUGCUGCAUGGCUGUCGUCAGCUCGUGUCGUGAG